AUGGAGAAGCUUAUCUCUGGUUGUGUCAAGGUCCCGGCUUGUACUGAUGGGAAGAUCAUUUUAUCGCGGAAGGAGGAUGUGUUUAUUCCUGACGAUCUACUGCUUAAGGGUCUGUUCGACAAGCUUCCUCGACAAUCCAUUAUUAUCUGGUACCCUCCUUCUGUCUCUCGAGCAAGGCUCAACAACGUGUAUGGCAGCAUCGGUGUUCAGGCAGUAUCCAAAGCCGCCGAGAAGAGCGAUUCUUUUGUCGUCUUGGGCCAGGAUGGCAGUUGCAAAACGGCUGCUGGCCAGCGUGAGGUGAUCAGUGUUGGUCUGCUCCAGAUAGUCCUUGCUUUCCUUGCUGAUCCAGCUCUUGACAUUGCUUCCAAAGAACGGCACACUAUGGUCUCUUGCCUGCUGAAUGUGAGCGUCCUGGAGACCAAGGAGCCGAUCACGGUGGGGUACCGCGUGAAGCUGUCUUCCGGAGAGGCUAUGGACGUGGAGGCCAGCCGGAUGAUCAGGUGGGAGAGGGAGAACUCGAAGCUGUACGUGCAGCGAGGCGAUGGUGCUGGUGCUGGUGCUGCAGCUGGUUACAAAGAGAAGAUUGAGUUUGCGACAAACUUUGCUGACGAGAUAGCCCGAGGGCUGCUGUUUGAGACGCCAGACCGCAUCCCUUCGCUUGCUGAACUCGUGAAGGUCGGCAGCCUGGUGGACUUCCAGGACGAUGCUGUGAAGUACCUGCUGAAGUCGAAGAAUCUGCAGGUGUUCCCUGAAGACGAGGCGUUCCUGAACGCUGCAUCACUAGGUGGCAGCAAGAAGCAUUAG
rnacentral:rRNA from 1 species